rfam:Firmicutes bacterium MLFW-2 MLFW-2_Contig_25_85X, whole genome shotgun sequence.
GGUUAAGCUAGAAAGAGCGUAUGGUGGAUGCCUUGGUGCUAGGAGCCGAAGAAGGACGGAGCGAACGCCGAAACGCUACGGGGAGUCGUAAGCAGACCUUGAUCCGUAGAUAUCCGAAUGGGGAAACCCUGUAUCCGUAAUGGGAUACAAUCCAUACCUGAACACAUAGGGUAUGAGAAGGCAGACCCGGGGAACUGAAACAUCUAAGUACCCGGAGGAAGAGAAAACAAAACAGUGAUUCCCUAAGUAGUGGCGAGCGAAAGGGGAAGAGCCUAAACCAAAUAUAUGUAAGCCUGCAAGCGUUGUAUAUUUGGGGUAGCGGGGCAUAAGACGGAAGGUUGCAGCCGACCACAGUGACAAAAAAAGGUAUUCGAAAGGUCUGGGAAGGCCUACCGAAGAAAGUGAAAGUCUUGUAGAAGAAACCUUUUGGCGCAUUGCCUAUGACCCCAAGUACUGCGGGACACGAGAAAUCCCGUAGGAAUCAGGGAGGACCAUCUCCUAAGGCUAAAUACUACCUAGCGACCGAUAGUGAACCAGUACCGUGAGGGAAAGGUGAAAAGCACCCCGGAAGGGGAGUGAAAUAGAACCUGAAACCAUAUGCUUACAAGCAGUCGGAGCACUCUAUAUGUGUGACGGCGUGCCUUUUGUAGAAUGAACCGGCGAGUUAUGGUAACGAGCGAGGUUAAAGAGAGAAUCUGGAGCCGAAGCGAAAGCAAGUCUGAACAGGGCGUGCAGUUCGUUGCCAUAGACCCGAAACCGUGUGAUCUACCCAUGGCCAGGAUGAAGUUGCAGUAAAAUGCAAUGGAGGUCCGAACCCACUAAUGUUGAAAAAUUAGGGGAUGAGCUGUGGGUAGGGGUGAAAUGCCAAUCGAACACGGAGAUAGCUGGUUCUCCCCGAAAUAGCUUUAGGGCUAGCCUUAUCGGUCAGUCGUGGAGGUAGAGCACUGAUUGAACUAGGGGCGUGCAAGCGUUACCGAAUUCAGUCAAACUCCGAAUGCCAUAGACUGUAACGAUAGGAGUCAGACUACGAGUGAUAAGAUCCGUGGUCAAAAGGGAAACAGCCCAGACCAUCAGCUAAGGUCCCCAAGUGUGUGUUAAGUGGUAGCUCACUGGUCGAGUGACACUGCGCCGAAAAUGUAACGGGGCUCAAACACACCACCGAAGCUAUGGAUGUAGACACAUUCAUUUUGUUCUUUUAAAUCGUGUAAUGAUUGAGUUACAUUACGCCGAAAUCCACAAUAAGUGGAUCAAGAUUUCGGCUAAAUGCCUCAAGGAUCAAACACGAGACAAAGAAGAGAAUGAAAUGAAUGUGUCUACGUGGUAGGGGAGCGUUCCAAAUGCAUCGAAGCGAUACCGUAAGGAGUCGUGGAGCGUUUGGAAGUGAGAAUGCCGGUAUGAGUAACGAAAAGAUAUGUGAGAAUCAUAUCCGCCGAAAGCCGAAGGGUUCCUGAGGAAGGUUCGUCCUCUCAGGGUAAGUCGGGACCUAAGCCGAGGCCGAAAGGCGUAGGCGAUGGACAACUGGUUGAGAUUCCAGUACCACCUAUAAGCCGUUUGAGUGAUGGGGUCUGUCGAAGCGAGGUAGCGGUCAGGUAGGCAAAUCCGCCUGGCAUAACGCAAAGACGUGAUCGCGAGCGAAAAUAUAAGUAGCGAAGUCCCUGAUUCCAUACUGCCAAGAAAAGCCUCUAGCGAGGAAUAUGGGUGCCCGUACCAAAACCGACACAGGUUGGCAGGGAGAGAAUCCCAAGGCGCGCGAGAGAACUCUCGUUAAGGAACUCGGCAAAAUGACCCCGUAACUUCGGGAGAAGGGGUGCUCUUUGGGGUGAAUAGCCCGGGAGAGCCGCAGUGAAAAGAUCCAAGCGACUGUUUAGCAAAAACACAGGUCUCUGCGAAGCCGCAAGGCGAAGUAUAGGGGCUGACGCCUGCCCGGUGCUGGAAGGUUAAGGGAAGAGGUUAGCCGUAAGGCGAAGCUUUGAACCGAAGCCCCAGUAAACGGCGGCCGUAACUAUAACGGUCCUAAGGUAGCGAAAUUCCUUGUCGGGUAAGUUCCGACCCGCACGAAAGGCGUAACGACUUGGAUACUGUCUCGACGAGAGACUCGGUGAAAUUGUAGUACCAGUGAAGAUGCUGGUUACCCGCGACAAGACGGAAAGACCCCAUGGAGCUUUACUAUAGCUUGAUAUUGAACUUUGGUACCCUAUGUACAGGAUAGGUGGGAGGCUGAGAAGCUAGGGCGCAAGCCUUGGUGGAGCCGCUGGUGGGAUACCACCCUUAGUGUACCGGGGUUCUAACCUACAUCCGUGACCCGGAUGAGGGACAGUGUCAGGUGGGUAGUUUGACUGGGGCGGUCGCCUCCUAAAGAGUAACGGAGGCGCCCAAAGGUUCCCUCAGAAUGGUUGGAAAUCAUUCGAAGAGUGUAAAGGCAGAAGGGAGCUUGACUGCGAGACCUACAAGUCGAGCAGGUACGAAAGUAGGGCUUAGUGAUCCGGCGGUGCCGUAUGGAAGGGCCGUCGCUCAACGGAUAAAAGCUACCCUGGGGAUAACAGGCUUAUCUCCCCCAAGAGUCCACAUCGACGGGGAGGUUUGGCACCUCGAUGUCGGCUCAUCGCAUCCUGGGGCUGAAGUAGGUCCCAAGGGUUGGGCUGUUCGCCCAUUAAAGCGGUACGCGAGCUGGGUUCAGAACGUCGUGAGACAGUUCGGUCCCUAUCUGUCGUGGGCGUAGGAAAUUUGAGAGGAGCUGUCCUUAGUACGAGAGGACCGGGAUGGACAAACCGCUGGUGUACCAGUUGUUCCGCCAGGAGCAUAGCUGGGUAGCCAAGUUUGGAAGGGAUAAGCGCUGAAAGCAUCUAAGCGCAAAGCCCCCCUCAAGAUAAGAUUUCCCAUAGCAUAAGCUAGUAAGACCCCGGACAGAUACUAAUCGGUCGAGGGCUUAACCAA